GUCAAUAUGUCCGAGUGGUUAAGGAGACAGACUCAAAAUUUGUUAUGCUACGACUGCAUAGGUUCGAAUCCUACUAUUGACG